AGAGUGAACGCUGGCGGUAGGCCUAACACAUGCAAGUCGAACGGCAGCACGGUAAGAGCUUGCUCUUAUGGGUGGCGAGUGGCGGACGGGUGAGGAAUACAUCGAAUCUACCUUUUGGUGGGGGAUAACGUAGGGAAACUUACGCUAAUACCGCAUACGCCCCGUCGGGGGAAAGCCGGGGACCAGC
rnacentral:rRNA from 1 species